UACAGAGGGGGCAAGCGUUGUUCGGAAUUACUGGGCGUAAAGGGCGCGUAGGCGGCCUUCUAAGUCGAAUGUGAAAUCCCCGGGCUCAACCCGGGAACUGCGUCCGAUACUGGAAGGCUUGAAUCCGGGAGAGGGAUGCGGAAUUCCAGGUGUAGCGGUGAAAUGCGUAGAUAUCUGGAGGAACACCGGUGGCGAAGGCGGCAUCCUGGACCGGCAUUGACGCUGAGGCGCGAAAGCCAGGGGAGCAAACGGG
rnacentral:rRNA from 1 species